rnacentral:rRNA from 1 species
AUGCGGCGGCCGUCGGCUUCGUCGCCUCCGGCGAGGGGCCCGGUGUUGGCUGCCGCAGCCGCUGUCGUGCUCCUCCCGGCUAUUUUCCCCGCGCUGUUCUCCCCGCUCGGCCGCGCCUUCCCUUCCCUAUUCUCGGAGUGGGAUGCCCCUAAGCCAAUGCACAAGUCUCUUUUGAACGCGUCUUUGCGAUGGACAAUACCAGAUGAACAAAAGAGAGAGAUCUGGACACCCUUGCCUGACCAGGGGUGGAAACCAUGCAUAAGAUCAUCGAUUACUCGUGGGUUACCUUCGGAACCUAGUGGGUACAUACAAGUAUUUCUUGAUGGUGGCCUGAACCAGCAAAGAAUGGGGAUAUGUGAUGCUGUUGCGGUUGCUAAGAUUCUGAAUGCUACUCUUGUGAUUCCACAUCUUGAAGUAAACCCUGUUUGGAAAGACUCAAGCUCAUUCGGAGAUAUUUUCAAUGUGGAUCACUUUAUUAACACCCUAAAAGGCGAGGUUUCAAUAGUGAGAACUCCACCAAAAGAAUUUGCGUGGAGCACAAGAGAGUUCUAUGGCACAGGAAUACGUGCUACAAGAAUAAAAACUGCACCUGUUCAUGCCUCAGCUAAUUGGUAUAUAGAGAAUGUCAGUCCUAUCCUGCAAAGCUAUGGCAUUGCAGCCAUUGCCCCCUUUUCUCACCGCCUUGCAUUUGAUGAUUUGCCCGUGGACAUUCAACGCCUGCGCUGUAAAGUUAACUUUGAAGCUCUGAUUUUUGUGCCUUACAUUAUCUCAUUGGGGAGGACCCUUGAGAAGCGCUUGAGAUCUCCAGUCCAGGGGCAUUCCACUGAAUUUGCCCAACAAGUCAUAGAAGAAAACACAGAUCAGGAUGGAAAGUACGCAGUUUUACAUCUCCGCUUCGAUAAGGAUAUGGCUGCACAUUCUGCCUGUGACUUUGGCGGUGGUAGGGCUGAAAAAUUAGCUCUGGCUAAGUACAGGCAAGUUAUCUGGCAAGGGAGGGUAUUAAAUUCACAGUUAAGUGAUGAGGAGCUUCGAAACACAGGACGCUGCCCGUUGACUCCAGAAGAGAUUGGGUUGAUACUAGUAGCGCUUGGCUUUGACAGCACAACUCGAUUUUAUCUUGCCUCUCACAAGGUAUAUGGAGGGGAAGCUAGGAUCUCUAGCUUGCGCAAACUUUUCCCGCUGAUGGAAGACAAGAGGAGCCUUGCAUCGGCAGAUGAACUUGCUAAUGUUGAAGGGAAGGCUUCUGUGCUAGCAGCUCUUGACUACCAUAUCAGCAUGCACAGCGAUGUUUUCAUCUCUGCUUCUCCUGGCAAUAUGCAUAAUGCACUGCUGGCCCACCGGGCCUACAGGAAUUUCAAGACGAUAAGGCCAAACAUGACAUUGCUUGGCCACAUAUUUGCGAACAAGAGCAUGGAGUGGUCAGAGUUUCAGCAGGCUGUACAGGCAGGCCACAAAGGUAGAUACGGGCAGAUCCGGCUGAGGAAGCCGAAGCAGUCUAUCUAUACUUAUCCUGCCCCGGAUUGUAUGUGCCAAGGGUAG